rnacentral:rRNA from 1 species
UUCUGAUACAAACAAUCGUUACAACUUUCAACAAUGGAUCUCUUGGCUCUGGCAUCGAUGAAGAACGCAGCGAAAUGCGAUAAGUAGUGUGAAUUGCAGAAUUCAGUGAAUCAUCGAAUCUUUGAACGCACAUUGCGCCCCUUGGUAUUCCAUGGGGC